rnacentral:lncRNA from 1 species
GGGGGGGGCUAGGAUGAAAUUUGAAAAAAAUAGGCAGGACAGGAGUUUUGAGUAAAAAAAAAAGGCAGGAUGAGACACUUUGCAAAAAAAAAGGCAGGAUGACAAUUUAGGUAUACACUAAUAAAAAAAAAAGGGCAGGACCAAAUAGAGUGAAAAAUAAAAAGGCAGGACAGAGAUAACAACUAAAAAAAAAUGCAGGACAAAAUUUUUCAUUUAGCCCCCCCAUAAAAAUCAAAUGGUAGCCCCAGUCCCACUAGACCACGAUCGCACCACGCUCACCGCGAUCUAAAAUAAAUUAAGAUCGUGGUGAGGUCGCGAUAUGAGCGGUAUGAAAAUGUUAAUUUUCGUUGCUUUCACGAUGCUACUACGUCCUAACUACGCUUCUACAAUGAUCCCGCUACGAUUAAACCACGUUCUCACCGCGCUUAUUCUGCGACCUCACUACGCUUAGGGAGCUACCAUUUGAUUUUUAUGGGGGGGGGGGGGGGGGCUAGGAUGAAAUUUGAAAAAAAUAUGGCAGGACAGGAGUUUUGAGUAAAAAAAAGGCAGGAUGAGACACUUUUGCCAAAAAAAAAAGGCAGGAGACAAUUUAGGUAAAAAAGUCAGGAUAAACUAAUAAAAAAAAAGGCAGGACCGAAUAGAGUAAAAAAUAAAAGGCAGGACAGAGAUUACAACUAAAAAAAAAUGC